CCAAACCUGAGUGCAGGGUUACCGCGCCCAUCUCUGCUGUUUGAUGGCCGGAGGAAGAAGCGACUGAGAUCCUGGCGUGAAGGAAGAAAAAAGAGGGACGACGACGGUGGGAAAGACAAGAAGGGAUUUUUGCUUUGAGUUGGAAUUUGCGCUGAAAGGGAAGAACGCUCAAACGGGACUCUGACACGUCUAUCUGGGUGAACACCGCCUUGUCUCUGCGCCUCUGUGCCGGUGUGUCUCCCCCCUCGGCGGGUCAAAAACUGGGUUCGGGGAGUGCCGCUCCUCGGUAGCUAAACUAGCUAAAUCUUAGCGCCUGGGCGGAGAGAGGAGAGACAAGAUUUUGCUGUUUCCAGUCAAUGUGAUAUAAACAACGGAUACCCUCGACUGAAAGCGGAUCAGCAAGAGUCUAGGCGGCGGAGCGAAGCACACCAUUAGCAGAGGAAAAUGAGUGAACUGGAUCAGCUACGCCAGGAGGCUGAGCAGCUCAAGAACCAGAUCAGAGAUGCCAGGAAAGCGUGUGCGGAUGCUACCCUGUCUCAGAUCACAGCUAACAUCGACCCUGUUGGCCGAAUUCAGAUGCGCACUAGACGGACACUGAGGGGGCAUCUGGCUAAAAUCUAUGCCAUGCACUGGGGCACUGACUCAAGG